rnacentral:rRNA from 1 species
AUUGAACGCUGGCGGCAUGCCUUACACAUGCAAGUCGAACGGCAGCACGGGAGCAAUCCUGGUGGCGAGUGGCGAACGGGUGAGUAAUGUAUCGGAACGUACCUUUCAGUGGGGGAUAACGUAGCGAAAGUUACGCUAAUACCGCAUAUUCUGUGAGCAGGAAAGCAGGGGAUCGCAAGACCUUGCGCUGAUUGAGCGGCCGAUAUCAGAUUAGCUAGUUGGUGAGGUAAAGGCUCACCAAGGCGACGAUCUGUAGCGGGUCUGAGAGGAUGAUCCGCCACACUGGAACUGAGACACGGUCCAGACUCCUACGGGAGGCAA